rnacentral:lncRNA from 1 species
GGGAGAAAGGAAGGAAAAGGAGGGGGAAAGAGGAAGGGAAAAAGGGAGAGGGGAAGGAAAGAGAAAAGGGAGGGGGAGAGAGGUAGGGAAGAGGAAACGGAGAGGGAGAAAAGGAAAAGGAAUGAGGGAAGAGUGAGGAAAUGCAAUGGAAGUGUGAGAAAAUGAGCGGAGGGUAGAAAUGGGAUGGAAAGGUGGGAGAAAAUGGGGAAGGUUGGGAAGAGGAGAGAAAAAGGAGGGGAAAAUGGGGGGGAAUUCGGGGAGAAAAGGAAGAAUAGGGAGAGAGGAAUGGGAGCAGUGGGAUAAAGGUGGGGGAAAUGGGAUCAGAAACGUGGAUGGAAUAAAGCUGAGGAAAAUGAGGGAAAGAUGGAAUAAAUGACAGAAAAUGGGGCAAAAUGGAACAAAGGUGAGAAGAAAUCGAGGGGAGAAAUGGAAUUAUGAAAGAGAACGGAAUAAAGAUGGGAAAAAACGGAGUAAAAACGGAAUAAAAAAUGAGGAAAAAGGGAAUGUGAGAGAAAAAUGGAGGAAAAAUGGAGUAAAAAUGAGGAGAAUGGAAUCAAGGUGAGAAAAAACGAGGGGAAAAUGGAAUCGAGAGGAGAAAAAAAUGGCAUUAAAACCUGGAAUAAAGAUGAGAAAAAAAAAAAAGAGGGAAAAGACGGAAAAGAAUAAAAGAAAAAGGGGCGAAAAAGCAGCGAAAGACUGCAAAAUGAGAGCAAAGUGAGGGGCAAAAAGGGGCCGACGGCGCAUUGCGUGCUCACUGCAGAGGCAAACAACGGUGCCGCAGCCGCACGUGGGUCGGUGCACGCAGCACCAAUGGCCAAAAGGUUGGGGGUUUGUGUCGCUGCCGCGUGGUUUUGGGCCGAAAAAGGCCGAUUUUGGGGCGCGGAGGUGAGUAUGGGGCGAGCGGCGGUUGCUUAUUUGUGCCUGUUAACAAACUCUGGUUUUGUGUGCUGCAGGUGUGAAAGGCAGCGACACUUUGCAAUGCUCCGCCUUUAUCCGCAGCUUUUGGGUUCAAAAAAAAGGCAGAAAGGGGGAAAAAAAUAAAAAAAAAAAAUAAAAGGAAAAAACAAAUGGAGAAAAAAAAAAAAAAAAAAGGAGAAAAUAGACCAAAUAAUAAUAAUAAGGAAAAAGAGGGGAAAAAAAGCAAUGAAGAGAGAGAGGAGAAAGGGAGGGGGGAGCGUCCUGUGGGGGCUCUGCUGCAAGCAGCCGGCGAGGCCAAAAAGGGCCCCAGAAAGGCCAGAAAAGGCCCCAAAAUGGCCAAAAGAAACCCCACAAAGGCCAAAAAAGACCUCAGGAAGGCCAAAAAAGGCCCCAAAAGGGCCAAAAAAGGCUCUAAAAGGGCCCAAAAAAAUCCCCAGAAAGGCCAAAAAGGGCUCUAAAAGAGCCAAAAAAGACCCCAGAAAGACCAGAAAAGGCCCCUGAAAGACCAAAAAAGACUCCAAAAGGGCCAAAAUUACCCCCAAAAGGCACCAAAAGGGCCAAGAAAGGCCGAAAAAGACCCCAAAAGGGCCAAAAACGGCCCCAAAAAGGCCCCCAAAAAAGGGCCACAGGGCUUUUAUUUUUGAGGUCAGAAAGUGCCAAAGAGCCAUUUUUGGAGCGGCCCCCCCCAAAAAAAGGCAGAUUUGGGUUUUUCCCAACUUUUGGAUACAGUAAAAUGAGAUGGGGGGGGGGGGGCGGUCCUACAGGGGGGGGGUCUGCAGAAAGCAGGGAAAAAACCCCAUAGAAAAACGCCCCCCAAAGGGCCACAUUGCCCGGGGUUCAUUUUUUUAGGGUCAAACGGCCGUUUGAUUUGGGCAUUUUUGUGGUUUUUGGUUUUUUUUUUCCCCAACUUUAGGAUUCAUUUUGGGGGGGGGGGAACGACCCACAACCGUGUGGGGUGUGCGGAAAGCAGGGAAAACGACCCCAAAAAAAGGGGGCCAAAGCCUUUUUGUACGCCGGGCCCAAAGGUGCCCCGCAGGGAUCCUUCAGAACGGCCGCAAAGAGCUCCAAUCGGCGUUUUUAGCCAUUUUCUGACCCCCCCCCCCCCCAAAAUCCCACCCAAUCCCACCCCACCCCCCCAUUGGGCAGCGCUGCGUGCGAGAGGAGCGUCAACGACGGAUGGAGACCCCCAAAACCCCCCCCAAAAUACCCCAAAACCGCC